GGCGGACGUAGCCAAGU
rnacentral:tRNA from 4 species